rnacentral:rRNA from 1 species
CCUACGGGAGGCAGCAGUGGGGAAUAUUGGGCAAUGGGCGCAAGCCUGACCCAGCAACGCCGCGUGAAGGAAGAAGGCUUUCGGGUGGUAAACUUCUUUUCUCAGGGACGAAGCAAGUGACGGUACCUGAGGAAUAAGCUACGGCUAACUACGUGCCAGCAGCCUCGGUAAUACGUAGGUGGCAAGCGUUAUCCGGAUUUACUGGGUGUAAAGGUCGUGUAGGCGGGAAGGAAAGUCAGAUGUGAAAACCAUGGGCUCAACCGGUGGCCUGCAUUUGAAACUGUUUUUCUUGAGUGCUGGGGAGGUAGACGGAAUUCCUAGUGUAGCGGUGAAAUGCGUAGAUAUUAGGCGGAACACCAGUUGCGAAGGCGUUCUGCUGGACAGCAACUGACGCUGAGGCGCGAAAGCGUGGGGAGCAAACAGGAUUAGAUACCCUUGUAGUC